UUAAUCUGCCUUCAGUUGAGAGGUUUCUGGUUGCAACAUCUUCUGGGCUGUUUGAAACAGAGCAUGCUCCAUUGACAGCUGCCUCUGGAAGGAGUUGAAAUCUCUCUGAACCUUCCAGGACUUGAAGACAGACCCCCCCAAAGACUUCACAGAUCAGGCAAUUCCAAUGUGGCCUUUAGCAGCAGCAUGCUGGAUGCUUCUUCUUGGAACUACUAUGGUUAUCAUAAGAAAGGAAGGACCACAAUCCUGAAGCUAAUAUGAAUAUAGCCAGAUUAUUUCUUACUGGGGCUACCCUUCUGAAAAGUAUGAUGUUGUGACAAAAGAUGGUUAUGUCUUGGGAAUUUAAGAAUCCUUAUGGAAGAGAAUGUCCAAGAACAGGUAGGAUUUAUUCCAUUAU